rnacentral:tRNA from 1 species
AAGAAUUUAGUUUAUGAAAAAACAUUAAUUUGUCAAGUUAAAAAAAUUAUAAUUAAUAAUUCUUU